GCUUGCACCUGAGUGACGAUGGAUUACCAGUGAGUGGCGGACGGGUGAGUAACACGUAGGUAACCUGCCCCGGAGCGGGGGAUAACAUUUGGAAACAGAUGCUAAUACCGCAUAACAACAAAAGCCACAUGGCUUUUGUUUGAAAGAUGGCUUUGGCUAUCACUCUGGGAUGGACCUGCGGUGCAUUAGCUAGUUGGUAAGGUAACGGCUUACCAAGGCGAUGAUGCAUAGCCGAGUUGAGAGACUGAUCGGCCACAAUGGAACUGAGACACGGUCCAUACUCCUACGGGAGGCAGCAGUAGGGAAUCUUCCACAAUGGGCGCAAGCCUGAUGGAGCAACACCGCGUGAGUGAAGAAGGGUUUCGGCUCGUAAAGCUCUGUUGUUGGAGAAGAACGUGCGUGAGAGUAACUGUUCACGCAGUGACGGUAUCCAACCAGAAAGUCACGGCUAACUACGUGCCAGCAGCCGCGGUAAUACGUAGGUGGCAAGCGUUAUCCGGAUUUAUUGGGCGUAAAGCGAGCGCAGGCGGUUGCUUAGGUCUGAUGUGAAAGCCUUCGGCUUAACCGAAGAAGUGCAUCGGAAACCGGGCGACUUGAGUGCAGAAGAGGACAGUGGAACUCCAUGUGUAGCGGUGGAAUGCGUAGAUAUAUGGAAGAACACCAGUGGCGAAGGCGGCUGUCUGGUCUGCAACUGACGCUGAGGCUCGAAAGCAUGGGUAGCGAACAGGAUUAGAUACCCUGGUAGUCCAUGCCGUAAACGAUGAGUGCUAGGUGUUGGAGGGUUUCCGCCCUUCAGUGCCGGAGCUAACGCAUUAAGCACUCCGCCUGGGGAGUACGACCGCAAGGUUGAAACUCAAAGGAAUUGACGGGGG
rnacentral:rRNA from 1 species